AAGUCGUAACAAGGUUUCCGUAGGUGAACCUGCGGAAGGAUCAUUAACACUCAACCCGAGACCGUGUCGUGCUUCACCGUGCGGUACGCGUCUCGUACACACCCUCUAGUUGAUAUCGUUUCCCGUACCUCCGCCAUACAUGGGUCCGUGCGCACUUAGGUUUUCCUAUACCACCGAUCUGUAAGGAGGCUUAUCCGCUCGACCGCUGAAGCGCUGAUCGCGAGUUCACUCUUGAAAGCAGCCCAGUGGGAAAGGAGUGGCUGACACUCGUUGUUGGUCACUCUGAGUACCGUAUAGGUUCAGUGGCCUGUAUUUUACCUAAACCCAUCAUUGACUCCUUGCACUGAUUUACCGUCUGCACACGAAAGUGUGUGUACGUUAUUGACCUCGUGUCAAUUAAACCAUAUACAACUCUUAACAACGGAUAUCUCGGCUAAC
rnacentral:misc_RNA from 1 species